GAUGAACGCUGGCGGCGUGCCCAAUACAUGCAAGUCGAGCGCGAGAGUGAGGAGCUUGCUCCUCAUGAUCGAGCGGCGGACGGGUGAGUAACACGUAGGCAACCUACCCUUGAGAUUGGGAUAACUACCGGAAACGGUAGCUAAUACCGGAUACGACUUUUCCACAUAAGUGGAAUGGUUAAAAGGAGGAUUUAUCUUCCGCCCAUGGAUGGGCCUGCGGUGCAUUAGCUAGUUGGUGAGGUAGUGGCUCACCAAGGCGACGAUGCAUAGCCGACCUGAGAGGGUGAUCGGCCACACUGGGACUGAGACACGGCCCAGACUCCUACGGGAGGCAGCAGUAGGGAAUCUUCCGCAAUGGACGAAAGUCUGACGGAGCAACGCCGCGUGAGUGAUGAAGGGUUUCGGCUCGUAAAACUCUGUUGUUAAGGAAGAACACUUGAGGUAGUAACUGGCCUUGAGAUGACGGUACUUAACCAGAAAGCCACGGCUAACUACGUGCCAGCAGCCGCCGUAA
rnacentral:rRNA from 1 species